CUCUCCCAAAGUCUAGCCGGGCAGGGGAACGCGGUGCAUUCCUGACCGGCACCUGGCGAGGCUCAUGCGUCCCGUGAGGGCGGUUCCUCGAGCCUGGGGGCGCUCAGGUGAGAGCGGACGCGGCCUCCCCUGUUUCCCAGGCGGACCCCUUGAGGCACAGCAGAUUGCUUUGGAGACGCUGAGAGAACCUUUGCGAGAGCGCCGGUUGACGUGCGGAGUGCGGGGCUCCGGGGGACUGAGCAGCACGAGACCCCAUCCUCCCCUCCGGGUUUUCACACUGGGCGAAGGGAGGACUCCUGAGCUCUGCCUCUUCCAGUAACAUUGAGGAUUACUGUGUUUUGUGAGAGCUCGCUAGGCGCCCUAAGCAACAGAGUUCUGAGAAAUCGAGAAACAUGAUAAGGAAUUGGCUGACUAUUUUUAUCCUUUUUCCCCUGAAGCUCGUAGAGAAAUGUGAGUCAAGCGUCAGCCUCACUGUUCCUCCUGUCGUAAAGCUGGAGAACGGCAGCUCGACCAACGUCAGCCUCACCCUGCGGCCACCAUUAAAUGCAACCCUGGUGAUCACUUUUGAAAUCACAUUUCGUUCCAAAAAUAUUACUAUCCUUGAGCUCCCCGAUGAA
rnacentral:lncRNA from 1 species